AAGAACCUUACCCGUUCUUUACAUCCCCUUGACCACGGUAGGGAAAUAGUUUCCCCUUCGGGGGCAACGGUGACAGGUGGUGCAUGGUUGUCGUCAGCUGGUGUCGUGAGAUGUUGGGUUAAGUCCCGCAACGAGCCCAACCCUUGUUUUUAGCUGCCACCAUUUAGUUGGCCCCUCUAAGGUGACUGCCGCUGCCAAACCGGAGGAAGGUGGGGAUGACGUCAAAUCAUCAUGCCCCUUAUGACCUGGGCUACACACGUGCUCCAAUGGACGAUACAAACGGUUGCCAACUCGCGAGAGGGAGCUAAUCCGAAAAAGUCGUUUUCAGUUCGGAUUGUAGGCUGCAAUUGGCCUCCAUGAAGCCGGAAUCGCUAGUAAUCGCGGAUCAGCAUGCCGCGGUGAAUACGUUCCCGGCCCUUGUACACACCGCCCGUCACACCACGAGAGUUUGUAACACCGGAAGUCGGUGAGGUAACCUUAUGGAGCCAGCCGCCGAAGUGGAAGAUUUGGU
rnacentral:rRNA from 1 species